CGCAUCUGUGCAUGCAGUAUAUCAAUAAGCGGAGGAAAAGAAACUAACAAGGAUUCCCCUAGUAACGGCGAGUGAAGCGGGAAGAGCUCAAAUUUGAAAUCUUAAAGGGUUUCCCUUUACGAAUUGUAGUUUAAAGAAGUGUUUUCUGUUGAGGUUUUGGUAAAAGUUCUUUGGAAUAGGACAUCAUAGAGGGUGAGAAUCCCGUAUUUGACCUUUACUUUCAACUUUGUGAUACACUUUCAAAGAGUCGGAUUGUUUGGGAAUGCAGUCCAAAAUGGGUGGUAAAUUUCAUCUAAAGCUAAAUAUUGGCGAGAGACCGAUAGCGAACAAGUACCGUGAGGGAAAGAUGAAAAGAACUUUGAAAAGAGAGUUAAACAGUACGUGAAAUUGUCAAAAGGGAAGCGUUUGACACCAGUGUUGUUUUUCUGAAAAUCAAUUAAAGAACUGUUUAUGCUAAGUUGUUUAGACUUUAUCAGCUAACUGUUUAGUUUUGAGCUUUUCUUUAAUGCACUUUUCAGUUAACAAGUCAACAUCAAUUUCUUUUGCUGUAAAAAAGCUUGAGGAAGGUGGCUUGAGAUUCGUCUUAAGUGUUUAUAGCCUCUUGCCUAUGCAGUCGGAGAGAUUGAGGUCUGCAGCGUAGAUCCUUCGGGGCUAAAUGCAUUUGUGCUAAGUUAUAACAUUUUAUAGACAACUUGUUGACUAUGAUUUGUCUUGUAGCUUACUCGCUUAUGUUAUUUUACCUACGCUUAGGAUGUUGAGUAGCGACAUACGCAC
rnacentral:rRNA from 1 species